rnacentral:rRNA from 1 species
AUAGUGAAGCCGCGAAUAGCUCAUUACAACAGCCAUAGUUUACUGGAUAUAUUCCUACAUGGAUAACUGUGGAAAUGCUACAGCUAAUACACGCAUCAAAACCCAACCUCACGGUGGGGUGCGUUUGUUACUUCAAACCAAUCGGACUUCGGUCUGAUUUGUAGUGAAAUUGAACAAUUUAGCUGAUCGCACGGUCUACGCACCGGCGACAUAUCCUUCAAAUGUCUGCCUUAUCAACUUUCGAUGGUAGAUUAUGCGCCUACCAUGGUUGUAACGGGUAACGGAGAAUCAGGGUUUGAUUCCGGAGAGGGAGCCUGAGAAACGGCUACCACAUCCAAGGAAGGCAGCAGGCACGCAAAUUACCCACUCCCGGCACGGGGAGGUAGUGACGAAAAAUAACAAGCUGGUCUCAUUGAGUUCCGGCAUUGUAAUGGGAACAACUUAAAUCAUUUAUCGAGGAUCUAUUGGAGGGCAAGUCUGGUGCCAGCAGCCGCGGUAAUUCCAGCUCCAAUAGCG